rnacentral:rRNA from 1 species
AGUGAACGCUGGCGGUGGGCCUAACACAUGCAAGUCGAACGGCAGCACAGUAAGAGCUUGCUCUUACGGGUGGCGAGUGGCGGACGGGUGAGGAAUACAUCGAAAUCUACUUUUUCGUGGGGGAUAACGUAGGGAAACUUACGCUAAUACCGCAUACGACCUACGGGUGAAAGCAGGGGAUCUUCGGACCUUGCGCGAUUGAAUGAGCCGAUGUCGGAUUAGCUAGUUGGCGGGGUAAAGGCCCACCAAGGCGACGAUCCGUAGCUGGUCUGAGAGGAUGAUCAGCCACACUGGAACUGAGACACGGUCCAGACUCCUACGGGAGGCAGCAGUGGGGAAUAUUGGACAAUGGGCGCAAGCCUGAUCCAGCCAUACCGCGUGGGUGAAGAAGGCCUUCGGGUUGUAAAGCCCUUUUGUUGGGAAAGAAAGGCAGCAGGUUAAUACCCCGCUGUUCUGACGGUACCCAAAGAAUAAGCACCGGCUAACUUCGUG